rnacentral:rRNA from 1 species
UACAUGGGGUGCAAACGUUGCUCGGAAUUAUUGGGCGUAAAGCGCGCGUAGGCGGUUACUUAAGUCGGAUGUGAAAGCCCUCGGCUUAACUGAGGAAGUGCACCCGAAACUGAGUAGCUGGAGUACGAAAGAGGGUCGCGGAAUUCCCGGUGUAGAGGUGAAAUUCGUAGAUAUCGGGAGGAACACCGGUGGCGAAGGCGGCGACCUGGGUCGAGACUGACGCUGAGGCGCGAAAGCUAGGGGAGCGAACGGG